rnacentral:rRNA from 1 species
CAGCCGCCACGGUAAAACGUAGGGCGCAAGCGUUGUCCGGAAUUAUUGGGCGUAAAGAGCUCGUAGGCGGUCUGUCGCGUCUGGUGUGAAAUCCCGAGGCUCAACCUCGGGCUUGCAUCGGGUACGGGCAGACUAGAGUGCGGUAGGGGAGACUGGAAUUCCUGGUGUAGCGGUGGAAUGCGCAGAUAUCAGGAGGAACACCGAUGGCGAUGGCAGGUCUCUGGGCCGCAACUGACGCUGAGGAGCGAAAGCAUGGGGAGCGAACAGGAUUAGAUACCCCUGUAGUCCCUGUCUCUUAUAC